CUCGGGGGGGGGGGGGGGGGGAACGACCAGAGGGUUUGUGGGUCUCUCUCUCCCAGCGGCAAGGCCCGCCUCCUGUUUCUCCAGGGGGACAGUUCCAGGAGGGGCUAAAGUCUGAAAACCCUCGAUUGUCUCGGGACCGUAGGACAUAGGAGUGGACGACCUCCCCAGAUGUGUCGGGCAACCCUCCCAACAAAGACGCUGCUCCCCUACUAAACAGCGGAGGGGCUUCGGCAUCUAGGACUUCAGCCACGAGCCCUUGAUCCUGUCCCUACUCCUCCCUGCACAUCGAGCCACGGCCCGACCCAAGCGGGCCUCCGGACAGCGCUGCCAGCUGUUCGCGGACGUUCAAACGAAGUGAAGGCGUCGACGGGCAAGUGGUCCACGUCCUCCCGGAGCCGAGAGCGUCCUGGGGUCAAAGUGGAAGCAGCAGGACAAGCCAGAAAAGCGUGCUUAGCGGGAAAACCCCAACUGCACCUUCUUUCCACACCUGCUUAUACGCCAAGAAAGGAAGAAAUAAAGAUUCUGGGCAGGCGGGGCCGGUUCUUAUCAUUCCACAUCGGCAAGAACUGCAGGCAGCGACAUGGAGGCGCCAUGGUCGUUCGCAAGGUGCCCGAGGACCCCCGGGGGCGAAGGCUCUGGAGAAGCUGCUGACGUCUUAUCUGUCAUCGGGGCCUUGGCAGGUUCCUGCGCAGCCCGGUGUCUUGCAAAUGGAACUGGAGGGAACUGGUUCGCCUUGGAUGCGACAUGCGUGCCAGACGUCGGGUUGCCCCGCGCGGGUGGCCUGUCGUGUGUCGUGAGCCGUGCCGGUCCCCUUGGCUGCUCGGGUCACUGCCCCUCCAGGCGGCGCCGCCGUCCCCUCUGAGUGCUCUUCUGUCCCCUAACCUUGUGCUUGGAGGCCAGGAGACAUAGACUAGGGCAGCUCACGGGUCUGCCGGUCAAGGCCGCCACGCGCCCCAGCUGUUAUUGGUCGCACCGUCCCAGCCACCACCUGGAUGGGGAUGCCGGCAUGCAGCGGGCGCUUCGCGGGGACGGGCCCCCUCUGGGCUUCACGGCGCCGAGAAUGGGCCUUGGCUGCAUGCAAAGGCCGGCCGCUUGGCCCGGGGAGCGCCACCCUGGCCACGGGGACUGCCAUCAGGGCCCCGGGGUGCACACACUGCUCGAGCUGCGUCCCAGGGCCCGACAGCCGCAGCAGCGCAGGUGAGUGCUCCCAGUGGCCGCCGCCUCUGCUCCUCGGCACCCACCGGGUCCCUGUCAGCCUCUGAAACACCAGCUGGUGGCCCAGGAUGACCCAGGCCCCCACCCGCUCGGUGGCGGCUCAGCCCAGGGGACUCUGGGUUCUCAGGAACCCCCAGCGAGGCCCCUUUUUCCAUUAGUGACUUAUUAUACUUUUUUAAGUGUGUGUGGGGGAGACCUUCACUCUCGCCUUGUCCAUGUCAACGUCCACGUGUGAGCUCCUGAUGUCGGUCACGACUUUUUUCCUCCCUCCGUGGGAGCGGAGACAGGGAGGAGGUAGGUGAGCCUGACUUUUAUCAGCAUGUCCUUAGAGGAAACACGAGGGGAUCCUCAGAACCUUCCAUCGAGUUCCUUCAAUGUCUCAGACCCAUAAAAUCGCGCUUGAUGGAGCUGAGGGAGAAAGGGUCGCUCUACGAGAUUGCAGGCGAUCCCGAACGGCGACUCGGGCGACGCCUGCCACAACCCUCGUGCCGCUGACGCGGAGCCGCCGCAGAUCGCAACCAGCAGCAGGACGCGGAGGUGGGACUGGGCGCCCGGAGCCGGGCCGCCUCCACGGGUGCAGUGCGAGCUCUGUUGCGAGCCUGAAGCGCAGGGACCUGUGUCGCGGGCUGCACGUGGUCGCCGGGAUCACCGCCGCGGCCGGUUUCUGCCUCGGUUCCUGGUGGAGGCUCAGGGGCGCAGGCGAGUGCAGAUUAGCGGGAGCUUUUAUUUAUUUUUAUUUCCUUGAA